UUGAGCAGCACUGAUCAAAGCCAGCAGAAGGCUCAAACACAAACGCACGUGCGUGUUAGAGCAUAUGUCGUGCAUUCCUACGGGAGCUCUGCCAGCUCUUAAUUCCCCGCUCCUGUCUGAGAAAAGCACCUACAGACAUGGAUACAUAUCGCUGAGCAUCUCCUGCACCACAGCCGCAUUGGAAAGAAGCCGCAAAACCAGAGCACAAUGUCCUUCAGCUGCUCCACAGUCCUGGAAUCUAUUGGCACUUUCACACAGGGACACAUGAAGGGGAGGAGUGGUAACUGCAUAAAGAUACUUGUAAUCAGAUUUAGAAGCACCAGGAAGGCUGGAGAAGAGCUCGGGAGGUCAGCCACCAAAACACACACUCCCAUAUUAUCCCAGAUACCUUCUCCUAACCCUAUAAAUCCAAACACAAAUGCUCACAUUGCAAAACAAAACAAAACAAUCUUAAAGACAUUCAGGAAAGCAAAACCAUUUUUUACUUUUGCUGCUUUAUUCCUGUAAAAGGUAAGGUUUUGUCCACCACCACUCCUGCAAACAUCACCCCCAGCUUGUUGCCUGUGCCUGGGGUCAACUAUUUGCCCUCAGUGCCUUAUGUCGCAUCUCUGUUCCACUGGAGGACGUGG